UACGGGGGGAGCAAGCGUUGUUCGGAAUUAUUGGGCGUAAAGAGCUCGUAGGCGGUUUGUCGCGUCUGCUGUGAAAACUGGAGGCUCAACCUCCAGCCUGCAGUGGGUACGGGCAGACUAGAGUGCGGUAGGGGAGAUUGGAAUUCCUGGUGUAGCGGUGGAAUGCGCAGAUAUCAGGAGGAACACCAAUGGCGAAGGCAGAUCUCUGGGCCGUAACUGACGCUGAGGAGCGAAAGCAUGGGGAGCGAACAGG
rnacentral:rRNA from 1 species